GCGGCCGUCGUCUAGUAUGGUCUAGGACGCUGGCCUCCCGAGCCGGUGACCCGGGUUCAAAUCCCGGCGGCCGCA
rnacentral:tRNA from 1 species